rnacentral:lncRNA from 1 species
CGCGCAAGCGCAAGCGCGCGCUCCGAGGCUUUUCCCGGGCCCGCUGGGGGCGCGCGCUGCGUCCCCUGCAAAGCGCGAGCCGGGGCGGGGGCGCCGGAGCAAAGGAAACAAAAGGCGAAGGCGAAGGCGGCGGUCGGCGCGCACGGGGGCGGUGGCGUAGGCCGGGUCUUGGAGCCCGGCGAAGGCGGCGGCCGAAGCGAUUUCUAGGCUGCACCUUGAAGAGAAACAAGAGCUCACAAUCCCUGAGUCUGCCUCCUGCUGCUGGCCUGUUGGACCUUCUACAGUUGCCAUGGAAACUGUGUACCUCAGUUUUGGCUCUGCACCAGCUGGAUAGCAAACUGAAGAGCAUCAUUGUCUCUCAGGCUAAGCAGAGCUGUCGAGGUCAUUCAUUCAUUAGAUUAAUAUUGAUUGAGCACCUACUAAGCGCUUUGUUUUGUUUCGUGGGUUUUUUAGAUGCUGGAGAAUACAGUAGUAAACAAACUAGACUUCAGUCAUAGCCACCAAGAAUUCCAAAGCCCAGAGAAGCUGAGAGACAAGAAAUAAGGACACAGUAAAGUCUUCUCUUGACUUCUUCCCCCCAGUCCAAGUUUUCCACUCACAGCCUCUUCUCCUGGCCCAUCCUCUGCAAAAGCCCGGACAAGUAAAGCUCCUUUCAGCAUUUACAGCUCUGUUCUUCCGUUUCAUUUUUUUUUCCUGGUUGUGAAAACCAAAGAAAUUUCAG